rnacentral:rRNA from 1 species
AUUGAACGCUGGCGGCAGGCCUAACACAUGCAAGUCGAACGAGUGGCGGACGGGUGAGUAAUGUCUGGGAAACUGCCUGAUGGAGGGGGAUAACUACUGGAAACGGUAGCUAAUACCGCAUACCAUCGGAUGUGCCCAGAUUGGAUUCGCUAGUAGGUGGGGUAACGCCUCACCUAGGCGACGAUCCCCAGCUGGUCUGAGAGGAUGACCAGCCACACGGGAACUGGGAGACGGUCCAGACUCCUACGGGAGGCAGCAGUGGCGAAUAUUGGACAAUGGGCGCAAGCCUGAUGCAGCCAUGCCGCGUGAAUGAAGAAGGCCUUCGGGUUGUAAAGUACUUUCAGCGGGGAGGCGUUACCCGCAGAAGAAGCACCGGCUAACUCCGUGCCAGCAGCCGCUGUAAUAC